CUCCUCAACCCCACCGCCGCCGCAGCCGUCGCCGUCGCCGUUGCACCACCUCCCCGGCGAGAGCUCUACAGUGCAGGGGAGUUGAGAUGGUGCCGGCGCCGCCGAAGACUGGGCUCUUCGUGGGGAUAAACAAGGCCGGCGUCACCAAGCGCGAGAUCCCGCCCGCCCGUCCGGGCGCAAAGGUUAUUACAUAUGUUAGAAGUUUCAGUCUAUGGUGGGAGAAUGCAAUUCUGUAAUGAGAUUAUUGAGAAUGACAGCCUAGUAGUAAGAUUCUACAAACUGGUACUUUCUUUUUUCUCAUUUCAGAAAAUUACCAAGAGUGUCCAUUUUGUUCAGAACUUCAUCAGGGAAGUUUAUGGGUGCUGAAUGCUGCUGACGCCGCUGAGGACAGGGCUGUUCGUGGGGAUCAGUAAGGGGCACGUUGUCACCAAGCUCGAGCUCCCGCCCACGCCCGUCCGAUAUGUAAAGGGAAAAUUACCAAGUGGGUCCAUUUUGGUAGGAACUUGAUCAGGGAAGUUGCUCGAUUCGCGCCAUAUGAAAAGCAUGUCACCGAGCUUCUGAAGGUUGGAAAAGAUAAACGUGCACUGACGGUAGCCAAGAAAAAGAUAGGCACACACAAGAGAGCCAAGAAGAAGUGUGAGGAGAUGUCCGUUGUUCUUAGGAAGAUGAGAUGUGCUGAAACCGCCGAGAAGUGAGGCGGGGCGGUUCUUCAAGUAGCAAACUGUGGCAGCCGCAUUCGGUGCACGACCAUGUUUGCGGCGCGGGUCAAAGCCGUGAUUACCGACUUAUCAUGAGGUUUCUGCUGGUUUUGUGCAUUUCGUGGGACCAACCAUAAGCUUUGGUGAAUCGAGGUUUCCGAAACCGUUAUGUGCUCGUUGAUUUGGUGACAUUUGCUGCGUUGUAUGGUUCGUCUGCCCCGACGACUUGCUCUGUUGUGAACUGACAUGUUGCACUGAACUUGCUAUGCAGAUACUAGUACUAGUACCCUGGGUGAUUUACAUGUGUCUCCGGAGCCUGAGUUUGCUGAAAAUGAGGCCACAUCCCAGCCAUGUACACCUGCUGGUGCAACACAACGCAGCGGAGCAGGCACAGGCGCCCACCGGAGAACCCCAUCGCCGGGCACAGCCAUGUCGUUUCCGGCGUUCGUGCGUCGCAGGCGACCCGAUGUUGAUACGGCGGCGCCGGACCGAAAGAUUUCCAGGCUUGACAAAUGAAACUUACGAUGCGUCCAGGCCCAGGCCCAGGCCAUGGUGGAACAACGUGCGCACCCUGAUAUAGACAGUAUAACAACGUGCGCGACGCCGACCGGCCAGCCUACCCUGAUGUGCUUACGUUUUCGGCGCGCGCCGCCAUGGUGGAAGACGGCGCCUCACGUACACCCGGCACGCUGCAACGUAACAUGUCUGGAAACUAUUCCCUUGGUCUGAAAAUACUUUUCUUGAAAGUGAAUUCAUCUAGAUGUAUUUUUAAUAAUUUAUCCAUUUAUUCAUUCAUUCAAUCAUUUAUGCAACAA